UCACUGUGGAAUUUGCAACUGGUCCAGUUACAAAUUCCACAAGCACCAAAAUGUCAAGAUCAAGAAAAAUUGAUAUCAGAGCACAACUACUCAGCAUCCUGCACAUUUAACUGUACUCAAGAAAUGCAGCGCCUCUCAACAGAAAUACAACAACUGGAAAAGGAAUUGCUUGCCCUAAACAUAGAGUCUAGUAAAAGGAAGCCAAUGUCAAUUCACGAUAUUAAAGACAACGAAGAGAAGAUGCUUUUGUAUACAUCCCCACAGUAUGACAUAUUCGAAAUCUUCGUCAGAUUGUUACAGCGAUUUGAACUCGAUUAUUAUAAUGGCUGGACUCCUUCAAUGAAAACAGAGGACCAACUGCUCAUUGUACUAAUAAAGUUAAAACUCGAUCUUCGGGACACUGACUUGGCUCAUAGAUUCUGUGUCAGUCGACCAACAAUUUCGAACA